rnacentral:rRNA from 1 species
GUGAGGAAUAUUGGUCAAUGGGCGAGAGCCUGAACCAGCCAAGUCGCGUGAAGGAUGAAGGUUUUAUGAAUUGUAAACUUCUUUUGCAGGGGAAUAAAGUACGGUACGUGUACCGUUUUGUAUGUACUCUGCGAAUAAGGAUCGGCUAACUCCGUGCCAGCAGCCGCGGUAAUACGGAGGAUCCAAGCGUUAUCCGGAUUUAUUGGGUUUAAAGGGUGCGCAGGCGGGUUGAUAAGUCAGCGGUGAAAGUUUGUAGCUUAACUGUAAAAUUGCCGUUGAAACAGUCGAUCUUGAGUGCAAAUGAGGUAAGCGGAAUGUGUUGUGUAGCGGUGAAAUGCUUAGAUAUAACACAGAACACCGAUUGCGAAGGCAGCUUACUGGGAUGCAACUGACGCUCAUGCACGAAAGCGUGGGGAUCAAACAGGAUUAGAAACCCCUGUAGUCC